CAGGGGAAAGUGCCCAGGGAUAACUGUGUGUGCACUCGUGUGUCUGUGUGUUUCUAUAGUUAUGUGUGUAUAUCUAUAGUUCAGUAGCUAGACUUAAGCUGUGUAUAACAUCUGGACCUAUUUCCUGGAUAACAUCUGGAAAUAUUAAGAUGUUUCUUGGACAACUUUGGACUAUUUUAGAUUGAUUUCCAAAUUAAGAAUGGGAAAAGUAAUUUUUAACAGUUUGGGAAAUUCCUAAAGGUGUCAGCCCGUCUUGGUGAUGGUUUGGUUGGAG
rnacentral:lncRNA from 1 species